CCUACGGGAGGCAGCAGUGGGGAAUAUUGCACAAUGUGGGAAACCCUGAUGCAGCAACGCCGCGUGGGUGAAGGAGCGUCUCGGCGCGUAAAGCUCUAUCAGCGGGGAAGAAGAAAGCCGGUACUGGACCAAGAAGCCCCGGCCAACUACGUGCCGGCAGCCGCGUUAAUACGUAGGGGGCGCGCGUUAUCCGGAUUUACGGGGUGUAAAGGGAGUGUUGACGGUGAGCGAGGCCGGAAGUGGAAGCCCGCGGCGCAACAGCGGAACUGCUUUGGAAACUGUGUGGCUGGAGUAUGGGAGGGGUAAGCGGAAUUCCUGGUGUAGCGGUGAAAUGCGUAGAUAUCAGGAGGAACACCGGUGGCGAAGGCGGCUUACUGGACCGUAACUGACGUUGAGGCUCGAAAGCGUGGGGAGCGAACAGGAUUAGAUACCCCGGUAGUC
rnacentral:rRNA from 1 species